rnacentral:rRNA from 1 species
UCGUCACACUAUCAUUAACUGAAUCCAUAGGUUAAUGAGGCGAACCGGGGGAACUGAAACAUCUAAGUACCCCGAGGAAAAGAAAUCAACCGAGAUUCCCCCAGUAGCGGCGAGCGAACGGGGAGGAGCCCAGAGCCUGAAUCAGCAUGUGUGUUAGUGGAAGCGUCUGGAAAGGCGCGCGAUACAGGGUGACAGCCCCGUACACAAAAGCGCAUGUGCUGUGAGCUCGAUGAGUAGGGCGGGACACGUGGUAUCCUGUCUGAAUAUGGGGGGACCAUCCUCCAAGGCUAAAUACUCCUGACUGACCGAUAGUGAACCAGUACCGUGAGGGAAAGGCGAAAAGAACCCCGGCGAGGGGAGUGAAAAAGAACCUGAAACCGUGUACGUACAAGCAGUGGGAGCACAGGUUUACCUGUGUGACUGCGUACCUUUUGUAUAAUGGGUCAGCGACUUAUAUUCUGUAGCAAGGUUAACCGAAUAGGGGAGCCGUAGGGAAACCGAGUCUUAACCGGGCGUUAAGUUGCAGGGUAUAGACCCGAAACCCGGUGAUCUAGCCAUGGGCAGGUUGAAGGUUGGGUAACACUAACUGGAGGACCGAACCGACUAAUGUUGAAAAAUUAGCGGAUGACCUGUGGCUGGGGGUGAAAGGCCAAUCAAACCGGGAGAUAGCUGGUUCUCCCCGAAAGCUAUUUAGGUAGCGCCUCGUGAAUUCAUCUCCGGGGGUAGAGCACUGUUUCGGCUAGGGGGCCAUCCCGGCUUACCAACCCGAUGCAAACUGCGAAUACCGGAGAAUGUUAUCACGGGAGACACACGGCGGGUGCUAACGUCCGUCGUGAAGAGGGAAACAACCCAGACCGCCAGCUAAGGUCCCAAAGUCAUGGUUAAGUGGGAAACGAUGUGGGAAGGCCCAGACAGCCAGGAUGUUGGCUUAGAAGCAGCCAUCAUUUAAAGAAAGCGUAAUAGCUCACUGGUCGAGUCGGCCUGCGCGGAAGAUGUAACGGGGCUAAACCAUGCACCGAAGCUGCGGCAGCGA